GCAGUGCUGGAAGGAGAAACCUUACGAGAGACCUUCAUUCGCUCAGAUCUUGAGGUCACUCAAUCGUAUGCUGGAAGAGAGGAAGACGUACGUCAACACGACGCUCUAUGAGAAGUUCACAUACGCUGGCAUUGACUGUUCUGCAGAGGAAGCCGGCUGACACUUCGCUGUUGACAAAUUUCAGUUGACGAACGGUUAAUUAGAUCCUCUGAGCAGGAUUCACAGUUUUACACACGUUGUGUUUCAUUACAUGGCUACCAGAUCAUAUUUUUAUGUUGUGAAGUGGUUAUUGGUGUAUGACAUGAUGAAUGCAGAUACUGACAGAUAUGUGACGUUUGUAGAUUUCAUUGUUUUUAAUAAAAAGCCUGUCGUUUGAUACUGCGA